GACGAACGCUGGCGGCGUGCUUAACACAUGCAAGUCGAACGGAAAGGCCCUGCUUUUGUGGGGUGCUCGAGUGGCGAACGGGUGAGUAACACGUGAGUAACCUGCCCUUGACUUUGGGAUAACUUCAGGAAACUGGGGCUAAUACCGGAUAAGAGCUCCUGCUGCAUGGUGGGGGUUGGAAAGUUUCGGCGGUUGGGGAUGGACUCGCGGCUUAUCAGCUUGUUGGUGGGGUAGUGGCUUACCAAGGCUUUGACGGGUAGCCGGCCUGAGAGGGUGACCGGCCACAUUGGGACUGAGAUACGGCCCAGACUCCUACGGGAGGCAGCAGUGGGGAAUAUUGCACAAUGGGCGGAAGCCUGAUGCAGCAACGCCGCGUGCGGGAUGACGGCCUUCGGGUUGUAAACCGCUUUCGCCUGUGACGAAGCGUGAGUGACGGUAAUGGGUAAAGAAGCACCGGCUAACUACGU
rnacentral:rRNA from 1 species